GUUAGAGUUCUUUUGCUUAUUUGGAAUGAUACAACUUCUGUUCCUAUAUUGAAGGAGGAGGGCUUAAUGGCAACUCAUGAUGAAGACACUGCUAAGUACUUUGCUAAUACUGAUGUCCAUUGUGUUUUGUGUCCUCGCAAUCCUGAUGAUGGGGCUAAUGUUAUUCAAGACAUUGCUGUUGGGACAAUGUUCACUCACCAUCAGAAGAUUGUUGUGGUGGACAGUGCUUUGCCUAGUGGGGAUCCUAACAGAAGGAGAAUUGUUAGUUUUGUUGGUGGGAUUGAUCUUUGUGAUG
rnacentral:misc_RNA from 1 species